UGACGGUGCACCCUCCAAAAGUCGCAAAAAGCAACCGCUCCGUGCCCCCAUGGCUUAGUGAGGAAGAAAGUCUUUUUGGCUCCAUUUCCUCCUGGAAACAUUCUCUUUGAAACCGGAUUGACUCCGUGCAUCGUUCUGCGCAAUACAAUACACGCGUUAUAGCAUUUUCACAUAGCAACACACUUGCAACUCUCUUCUUCCGGUCUCCAAUGGCUUCCGAGGAACAGUUAUCUGCAAUCAAGCGCGCGAAAGUGCUCAUGGUUGGUGCCGGUGGUAUUGGCUGCGAGCUUCUGAAAACCCUCGCGCUUUCCGACUUCCAAGACGUACACAUUAUUGACAUGGACACAAUAGAAGUGAGUAAUUUAAACAGACAGUUUCUAUUUCGACAAUCUCAUGUUGGGCAAUCUAAGUCCAAAGUUGCUAGGGAUGCCGUCUUGAAAUUUAGGCCUGGAAUGAAAAUUACACCUUACCACGCAAAUGUUAAAGACACUGACUUCAAUGUGGAUUUCUUUAAACAAUUCAAUGUUGUUCUUAAUGGCCUUGACAAUCUAGAUGCUAGGCGACAUGUGAACCGACUUUGCUUGGCAGCCAAUGUUCCAUUGGUCGAAAGUGGGACUACUGGUUUCUUGGGACAGGUUACUGUGCAUGUGAAGGGCAAAACAGAGUGUUACGAGUGCCAACCUAAACCAGCUCCAAAAAUUUACCCUGUAUGCACAAUUACAAGCACUCCAUCCAAGUUUGUUCACUGCAUUGUAUGGGCAAAAGAUCUGCUUUUUGCAAAGCUUUUUGGGGACAAGAAUCAGGAAAAUGAUCUGAAUGUGCACUCUAGUGAUUCUUGUAGCUCAUCAGAACAUUUGGAAGAUAUUUUUGAAUGCAGACCAAAUGAGGACGUUGAACAAUAUGGGAAGAGAAUAUAUGACCAUGUUUUUGGCUACAACAUUAAGGUAGCAUUGUCAAAUGAAGAAGCAUGGAAGAAUCGUAACAAACCAAGGCCUACAUACAUUAGAGAUGUAUUGCCAUCUGAAGAGAUUCAACAUAAUGGAAAUGGAGAUAGAGGUUCAAAAGAUGGUGAUCCUUCAUCAGUGUCUGCAAUGGCAUCUCUGGGUCUUAAAAAUCCACAGGAGUUAUGGAGCUUGAAAGAAAACACUACAGUAUUUUUGGAGUGUCUAAAGCUCUUUUUCUUGAAAAGACCAAAGGAGAUUGGCAACUUGAGUUUUGAAAAAGAUGAUCAGUUAGCUGUGGAAUUUGUAACUGCUGCUGCUAAUAUUCGGGCAUCUUCCUUUGGUAUUCCCUUGCAUAACCUUUUUGAAGCGAAAGGUAUUGCUGGAAAUAUUGUGCAUGCUGUUGCGACAACAAAUGCUAUAAUUGCUGGGUUGAUUGUGAUUGAGGCUAUUAAGGUGCUGCAAAAUGAUCUGAAAAACUGCAGGAUGACCUAUUGUCUUGAACAUCCUUCCAGAAAAAUGAUGCUUAUGCCAGUUGAUCCAUUUGAACCAAACAAAUCCUGCUAUGUCUGUUCUGAGACACCUUUUACACUUGAGAUCAAUACUCAUAGGUCAAAGCUGAGGGAUUUUGUUGAGAAGAUAGUGAAAGCAAAGCUAGGUAUGAAUUUUCCACUGGUUAUGCAUGGAGCAGCACUUCUCUAUGAGGUGGGUGAUGAUCUUGAGGAAGAUAUGGUAGUGAAUUACACAGCAAACCUUGACAAGGUACUAUGUGAGCUUCCAUCUCCUGUUACUGGGGGCACCACUGUCACUGUUGAGGAUCUCCGACAGGAGCUAACUUGUAAUAUCUAUAUUAAGCAUAGGGAAGAGUUUGAUGACGAGAAAGAACCUGAUGAAAUGGUUCUCUCUGGAUGGACUCGAGCUCCUGCGACUGAAACUAUAAACAAGGAAGUUCACAAUGGUACAAGCACAUCUAUAGCAUCUCAAACUGCUGCUACUCAGGAGACCAAUGAGGAUGAUGAUUCUGUACUUCUGCCAACGAGCAUUGAACUUCCUCUUGGAAAUGAAAGAAAGUUAUCUGACAGUACUGUUGCUACUGGUUCGGAUUUAUCGUAUGUCCCCAAUGAAACAAAGGUGCUGGACUGUCAAAUUUUGACAAGAUUUGAUACCUCCAGUAAUCAAACUUUUGCUUAUCAUCAGACAUUGGAAGAACAGCAGUAACAUAAAUUGUGACUUGGAAGAUAUAGCUGUGCUUCUGUACCUUGAAAACGUAAGGAUCUCUACUGAUCUAAAGGAUGCUGACGUGUGAAUUAGGAUGCCUUCAUAAUUCCUUUUUCCAGAAUUAUGUAGUAAAUGUAACCAAUUAAGGUGAAAAGCAAUGCAACAGCGGCAACAGAAAAGGCUGCACAGAGAGCAAGGAGUCAAAACUGAAGGAUGUAAAAUUGGAUGUUGCGGGAAAUUACAAGAUGCUGCUGCUAAUAGGAUGCUGGGCUCACGCCAUCGAAUUGGGAAAUUCAUGGCUAGUGAUGCUCAUUAGGCGGACAAUGAAAGGUGAACAUGUCAAAUUCUAACUAGCAUGGAAAGAGAACUAGUAGUUAAUACUAAUAUAUCAUUGUUGGGUUAUUACUUGGUUUUGCCAUCGUGUGAAUCCGCAUUACCAAGAACUUUGUGUGCAACCAUUAAUGUGGUUUGCACGAUCAGCACUAAAUCAUUUACAGAACUACCAAGAAUAUCAUUUGUAAGCAUAAAAUUUUUCAUGAU